CACUAGGGAAGCUGGAGCAUUUGUAGAAAUUUGGCCUAGGAAUGUGCCUCUAUUGUAUCUAGAUAUAAUCUACUGUAAGGUGUAGUGAUUUGAAGUAAUGAGCAAUGAUGAUUUGAAUAUGAUCACCUAAAAUUUUGGCCGCAAAUAAUAGACAUUAACAACUACACGUGCUUCUAGAGUCUGCCUAACUUGAAAGCCUAGGAAGAUUUGAUUGCCCUGUUUUGAAUACAACUAGAUCAACAACUUCUGAAACUCCAAUAAUACUACCUGCAAGUGCUGCUGAAAGAAAAAUAACCCUAACAGCCUUUAAAUUUACUACAUAGAUUCUAAUGCUGACAACAUCAAUUAGAUCUAGAUGCUGCCUAAAGAUUUCAUGUCUGUGGCAUUUUACCUCUCUGAGAAAAGAUCUUUUCCCUUUGCAACUUCUGGUGUGGUUAAAGAGGCCAAUUGAUACACAGCUGUGGUCACAUGUAAUCACCAGCAACCAUUGCAUUGUCACCUUUCUGCUGUUGUGUAUGGCAUCUGCAAUCGGAGACCCUUCCUUUAUGCUCUCUCUCCAUGUGGAUCUAUCCUGUGCCACCUUUUUCCCAGCCGCUAGUGUCGAUUUUGAAGAUGCACACUAUGAUAAACUCAAUGCAGUUGACUACAAUAAUCUCCAUGACCACAUUGUUUCAACAAGAACCUGUGUGCAUCACACAUUGUAAGGGUCGCAAUUGAAAAAAAAAUAUUUGUAAGCUAUGUGCCAAAAAUGCUCCUAAUAUUCAAUGAUGAGCUCUGACCAGGAUAACAAUCACACAUUGUGUCCGGAUGGCACUACAUCUGGGUAUCACUUCAAAAUAUCAUAGCACGAGAGCAGCCAUAACAAAAAGUACAACCAGACCAUUACUAUUAUUAUGGAUACAGUGAUGGUCAAUACUUUGUGUUUUCAAUAAUAGUUUAAUUGCUUUUUAGUUAGUUACAAUGCUAUUAAUAUUAAAAGGUAUUUUUUAUCAUUUUUGUUUUUUAUAUUAGAGAUAAUGGUAGGCCAUUAUUUGCUACUAGUAGAUUAUGUAAUUUGUUGAAUGCUAUUAAAGAGCUUCCAUAUAAAA